rnacentral:rRNA from 1 species
CUUAACACAUGCAAGUCGAGGGGCAGCAUGGUCUUAGCUUGCUAAGGCCGAUGGCGACCGGCGCACGGGUGAGUAACACGUAUCCAACCUGCCGUCUACUCUUGGACAGCCUUCUGAAAGGAAGAUUAAUACAAGAUGGCAUCAUGAGUCCGCAUGUUCACAUGAUUAAAGGUAUUCCGGUAGACGAUGGGGAUGCGUUCCAUUAGAUAGUAGGCGGGGUAACGGCCCACCUAGUCUUCGAUGGAUAGGGGUUCUGAGAGGAAGGUCCCCCACAUUGGAACUGAGACACGGUCCAAACUCCUACGGGAGGCAGCAGUGAGGAAUAUUGGUCAAUGGGCGAGAGCCUGAACCAGCCAAGUAGCGUGAAGGAUGACUGCCCUAUGGGUUGUAAACUUCUUUUAUAAAGGAAUAAAGUCGGGUAUGUAUACCCGUUUGCAUGUACUUUAUGAAUAAGGAUCGGCUAACUCCGUGCCAGCAGCCGCGGUAAUACGGAGGAUCCGAGCGUUAUCCGGAUUUAUUGGGUUUAAAGGGAGCGUAGAUGGAUGUUUAAGUCAGUUGUGAAAGUUUGCGGCUCAACCGUAAAAUUGCAGUUGAUACUGGAUAUCUUGAGUGCAGUUGAGGCAGGCGGAAUUCGUGGUGUAGCGGUGAAAUGCUUAGAUAUCACGAAGAACUCCGAUUGCGAAGGCAGCCUGCUAAGCUGCAACUGACAUUGAGGCUCGAAAGUGUG